CUUUUGUGGGGUGCUCGAGUGGCGAACGGGUGAGUAACACGUGAGUAACCUGCCCUUGACUUUGGGAUAACUUCAGGAAACCGGGGCUAAUACCGGAUAGGAGCUCCUGCUGCAUGGUGGGGGUUGGAAAGUUUCGGCGGUUGGGGAUGGACUCGCGGCUUAUCAGCUUGUUGGUGGGGUAGUGGCUUACCAAGGCUUUGACGGGUAGCCGGCCUGAGAGGGUGACCGGCCACAUUGGGACUGAGAUACGGCCCAG
rnacentral:rRNA from 1 species